ACGACAGCAAGGUCGGGCUCUCGGAGGAGGAGCCGCUGCUACCGGCGGAGAGCGACGAUUCCGCCGCCGUCGUCACCGGCGCCGGCGACGAGUGCAGCCCCGCUCCUCGCGGGCAGCCGCAGCUGGCGGGGCCUCCGCCGCUCAUCCCGGCCCUGGACGGCGGGGCCGCCGCCGACGGCUACUACUACUGCGACGACCCUCCGUCUUUCUACCACCGCCACCUCUCUGGGUCUCCGCCGCCGGUGGUGGUGAGGAUGGUGGAGGAGCACAACUUCCUGAGCAGCGAUGAGCCCUUCGGCGGCGGCGGCAGUCUCUUCGCCGACGACCAGCCGCCCACUCUCUCCUGGUACUACUCCGAUCAGUGGAGUUGACCGCCGCCGUCCACGGCGGCGCCGCCCACUCGAGCAGAGCAAUUCUAUGUGACUAGUAGUCUGAAAUCAUAAUUAAAUAAAUAAAAAUGAAAACUGAAUAAGAACCAACGCACACUCACCCCCUCUUGAUUUUUGUAAAAUGCCUCGAUAUUUCAUCUAUUUAUAUAUAUGUCCAAAACCUAGGAAGGGCAUCCUGUAGUUUUUGUACGAUAGUCCCUGCUCAUCGCAGCUAUCUGAUAAGGACGCUGGGUUUUCGAAUAUUUCUUCUGUUUCGUCGUCAUAGACCACCC
rnacentral:lncRNA from 1 species